rnacentral:rRNA from 1 species
GAAGGGACCUAGCGUAGUUCGGAAUUACUGGGCUUAAAGAGUUCGUAGGUGGUUGAAAAAGUUAGUGGUGAAAUCCCAGAGCUUAACUCUGGAACUGCCAUUAAAACUUUUCAGCUAGAGUAUGAUAGAGGAAAGCAGAAUUUCUAGUGUAGAGGUGAAAUUCGUAGAUAUUAGAAAGAAUACCAAUUGCGAAGGCAGCUUUCUGGAUCAUUACUGACACUGAGGAACUAAAGCAUGGUAGCCAGAGAUUAGAUACCCUC